AGGUUACUGCUAUCGGUGUUCGCGUAAGCCAUGCGAGUCAUAUGUUCUUCGUGAACAUGGCGUACUGCUCAGUAACACGUGGAUAACCUGCCCUUGGGUCCGGCAUAACCCCGGGAAACUGGGGAUAAUUUCGGAUAACGCACAUAUGCUGGAAUGCUUUAUGCGUCAAAUGGAUUCGUCCGCCCAAGGAUGGGUCUGCGGCCUAUCAGGUAGUAGUGGGUGUAAUGUACCUACUAGCCUACGACGGGUACGGGUUGUGAGAGCAAGAGCCCGGAGAUGGAUUCUGAGACAUGAAUCCAGGCCCUACGGGGCGCAGCAGGCGCGAAAACUUUACAAUGCGGGAAACCGUGAUAAGGGGACACCGAGUGCCAGCAUCAUAUGCUGGCUGUCCGGGUGUGUAAAAUACACCUGUUAGCAAGGGCCGGGCAAGACCGGUGCCAGCCGCCGCGGUAACACCGGCGGCCCGAGUGGUGAUCGUGAUUAUUGGGUCUAAAGGGUCCGUAGCCGGUUUGGUCAGUCCUCCGGGAAAUCUGACGGCUUAACCGUUAGGCUUUCGGGGGAUACUGCCAGACUUGGAACCGGGAGAGGUAAGAGGUACUACAGGGGUAGGAGUGAAAUCUUGUAAUCCCUGUGGGACCACCUGUGGCGAAGGCGUCUUACCAGAACGGGUUCGACGGUGAGGGACGAAAGCUGGGGGCACGAACCGGAUUAGAUACCCGGGUAGUCCCAGCCGUAAACGAUUCUCGCUAGGGUCAGGCAUGGCGCGACCGUGUCUGGUGCCGCAGGGAAGCCGUGAAGCGAGCCACCUGGGAAGUACGGCCGCAAGGCUGAAACUUAA
rnacentral:rRNA from 1 species